rnacentral:lncRNA from 1 species
UGGUGGCCGGCAUAUCGAGAAUGGGUCCCAUCGAUUGCGUCGAUUCGGGCUUCAGGGGAAAGAGGAAGAGGCGGAGGCGGGAGGGCUUGGAGGAAGAGUUGCUGUUGUUGGUGGCCGUACGGUCGUACUCGUCGAUCAUGUUGUCGAGGUCUUCGUCGGUGGUGACGGAGAUUAAGGAAUCGAGGUCUUCGCUGGGGAGCUGGUACUUGAGGGUGAAGGGGCGGCCGUUGAGAAGGGUCUUGGAGAGGCGGUUGGAGAGGUCGGAGAGGGAGGUGUGGCGGUCGACGACGACGAUUCGGGUGUCGCCGCCGACGUAGCACAACGACUUGUCG